rnacentral:lncRNA from 1 species
UUGUAAGUUAUCUGACAGGUGGAAUAUAUUUUGCAACAGAUUACCAAUCUAUUUCUUUCGAAAAUACAACAAAAAGAUAAAAUUACAUAUUAAUAAAGUCACUAGUUUUAUUUAAGUAAUACACCACACACAACACAUAAAUCUCGGAUAGUUUGCAUCAGAUGUGGAGUCUAUUGCAUCAGAUAUGGAGUCUGAUGCAACAGAUAUGGAGUCUGUUGGAAUACAUAGUAGCCUUGCCGGUGGUUUGAUUUGUUCCA